rnacentral:rRNA from 1 species
UGCAAGUCGAGCGGUAGCACAGGAGAGCUUGCUCUCGGGUGACGAGCGGCGGACGGGUGAGUAAUGUCUGGGAAACUGCCUGAUGGAGGGGGAUAACUACUGGAAACGGUAGCUAAUACCGCAUAACGUCGCAAGACCAAAGUGGGGGACCUUCGGGCCUCAUGCCAUCAGAUGUGCCCAGAUGGGAUUAGCUGGUAGGUGGGGUAACGGCUCACCUAGGCGACGAUCCCUAGCUGGUCUGAGAGGAUGACCAGCCACACUGGAACUGAGACACGGUCCAGACUCCUACGGGAGGCAGCAGUGGGGAAUAUUGCACAAUGGGCGCAAGCCUGAUGCAGCCAUGCCGCGUGUGUGAAGAAGGCCUUCGGGUUGUAAAGCACUUUCAGCGGGGAGGAAGGCGAUGAGGUUAAUAACCUCGUCGAUUGACGUUACCCGCAGAAGAAGCACCGGCUAACUCCGUGCCAGCAGCCGCGGUAAUACGGAGGGUGCAAGCGUUAAUCGGAAUUACUGGGCGUAAAGCGCACGCAGGCGGUCUGUCAAGUCGGAUGUGAAAU